CGCGGGUCCUCCCCCCCGGUAGGCGGCGCUACCCGGCGUGCCCCGCGCGCGGGGAGCGGAGCGGCCGCGGCCCGGCCGUGCCAUGGAGGAGGAGGAGGAGAAACCCCCGCGGGGGGGGCAGGAGCCGCGAGAGCAGCGGGAGGGACCCGGCCAGGGGCUACUGAAAGCUCUGCAGCGCCUCCUGAGCGGCGCCGGCACCUGGGGACAAGACCCCCCCCACAAGCCCCCCCGGCUGCAGCGCUGGUGCUGGGGAGCCCGGCCCGAGGGUGGCACGGUUUGGGAGCCCGUGGGGGGCCCGGGGGGGGCCCUGGAGCAGCUGCAGCUCAGCAGCGGGGAGGGGUCCCCCGAAGACGAGGAGCUGGAGUUGGUGGCCGAGGUCCGCGUGGCCGAUUUGGGGGGGCUGGCGGCCGCCUCGGGGCUCCUGCGCCGGGAGCGGCCCUGGAGAGCCCCCAAAGGAGGUCAGGGGGUCUGGGGGCGUUCUGGGGGGAUUUGGGGGGAUUUGGGGGGGAUUUGGGGGGAAUU
rnacentral:lncRNA from 1 species